UUGACAGGCGUCCGCCAGAGCCCGUGCCCGAGCUCGGCAGAGCCUGCGCUGCCAAAGCCAGCCCGGCUCCGCGCGCGGUUCCUGCGCCCAGACCCCAGCUGCUGCCCGGCCGCACACACACCCCCUCACCACGGGGGUUCUCCAGACCCUCUUGAGGGGCGUGGAGGCCACAGGACCCUCUGAGCACAGGGUGGGUCGUGGGACGCUGCAGCAGCCCGGCGUGCUCUCUUGUUAGAAAAAAGGCGGAUCUCUGUAAAACUGGACUCCUCUUUUCUUCCUUGUGGUAAUUCCUUUCUUCCUGGUUUUCCUCUCCUUCCCUUCACCCGCAAUAACGCGCUCUCUCUCUGGCAGACAUCUUUUUCCAGUCCCACCAAAGAAGUCCCCUUGCCGCUGGGCGAGUUCCUUAGCUGGGUCUCCGACAUCAGCAAGUCGUGGAUGGGCUCGAGGGGAGCUUGGGACGCGGCAGCUCUUCGGCCGUGCUCACCGGCACAGAGCGUGGCAGCGGGAUGAGCGGACAGAGUGGAGGCUGGAAGUGCAUGAGCAGCUGCUGGCCCUGCGGCACUGGCUGGACGCUGUGGAGAAGAGGCUGCCUGCCCUGCCGGAGCCUGGCCAUGCCCUGCAGGUGUCCCUGCGGGCUGUCCCUGUCCUGGAGGAGGUGGCGGGCACGGAGCGAGCCCAGGACACGCUGGAGAGCCU
rnacentral:lncRNA from 1 species